ACAGGAGAGUGUAGGUGUAUGUACUUACUUUGUAGGUGUAGACAGGAGAGUGUAGGUGUAUGUACUCACUCUGUAGGAGUAGACAGGAGAGUGUAGGUGUAUGUACAGGAGAGUGUAGGUGUAUGUACAGGAGAGUGUAGGUGUAUGUACUCACUUUGUAGGAGUAGACAGGAGAGUGUAGGUGUAUGUACUGACUUUGUAGGAGUAGACAGGAGAGUGUAGGUGUAUGUACAGGAGAGUGUAGGUGUAUGUACUCACUUUGUAGGAGUAGACAGGAGAGUGUAGGUGUAUGUACUCACUUUGUAGGAGUGGACAGGAGAGUGUGGGUGUAUGUACUCACUUUGUAGGAGUGUACAGGAGAGUGUAGGUGUAUGUACUCACGUUGUAGGAGUAGACAGGAGAGUGUAGGUGUAUGUACUCACUUUGUAGGAGUAGACAGGAGAGUGUAGGUGUAUGUACUCACUUUGUAGGAGUAGACAGGAGAGUGUAGGUGUAUGUACUCACUUUGUAGGAGUGGACAGGAGAGU